rnacentral:rRNA from 1 species
UGGGGAAUAUUGGACAAUGGGCGGAAGCCUGAUCCAGCAACGCCGCGUGAGGGAUGACGGCCUUCGGGUUGUAAACCUCUUUCGCCUGUGACGAAGCUGUCCCUUUUUGGGGGUGGUGACGGUAGCGGGAAAAGAAGGACCGGCCAACUACGUGCCAGCAGCCGCGGUAAUACGUAGGGUCCGAGCGUUGUCCGGAAUUAUUGGGCGUAAAGGGCUCGUAGGCGGUUUGUCGCGUCGGGAGUGAAAACCCCAGGCUUAACUUGGGGCGUGCUUUCGAUACGGGCAGACUUGAGGUAUGCAGGGGAGAACGGAAUUCCUGGUGUAGCGGUGAAAUGCGCAGAUAUCAGGAGGAACACCGGUGGCGAAGGCGGUUCUCUGGGCAUGACCUGACGCUGAGGAGCGAAAGUGUGGGGAGCGAACA